rnacentral:rRNA from 1 species
CACUCCUACAGGAGGCAGCAGUGGGGAAUAUUGCACAAUGGGCGCAAGCCUGAUGCAGCCAUGCCGCGUGUAUGAAGAAGGCCUUCGGGUUGUAAAGUACUUUCAGCGGGGAGGAAGGCGAUAAGGUUAAUAACCUUGUCGAUUGACGUUACCCGCAGAAGAAGCACCGGCUAACUCCGUGCCAGCAGCCGCGGUAAUACGGAGGGUGCAAGCGUUAAUCGGAAUUACUGGGCGUAAAGCGCACGCAGGCGGUCUGUCAAGUCGGAUGUGAAAUCCCCGGGCUCAACCUGGGAACUGCAUUCGAAACUGGCAGGCUAGAGUCUUGUAGAGGGGGGUAGAAUUCCAGGUGUAGCGGUGAAAUGCGUAGAGAUCUGGAGGAAUACCGGUGGCGAAGGCGGCCCCCUGGACAAAGACUGACGCUCAGGUGCGAAAGCGUGGGGAGCAAACAGGAUUAGAAACCCUUGUAGUCCCAUGA